rnacentral:rRNA from 1 species
UACGUAGGGGGCAAGCGUUGUCCGGAAUCAUUGGGCGUAAAGAGCGUGUAGGCGGCCCGAUAAGUCCGCUGUGAAAGUCCAGGGCUCAACCCUGGAAUGCCAGUGGAAACUGUCGGGCUGGAGUCCGGAAGAGGCGAGUGGAAUUCCUGGUGUAGCGGUGAAAUGCGCAGAUAUCAGGAGGAACACCAAUGGCGAAGGCAGCUCGCUGGGACGGUACUGACGCUGAGAAGCGAAAGCAUGGGGAGCAAACAGG